UACGAAGGGGGCUAGCGGUGUUCGGAAUCACUGGGCGUAAAGCGCACGUAGGCGGAUCUUUAAGUCAGAGGUGAAAGCCUGGAGCUCAACUCCAGAACUGCCUUUGAUACUGGGGAUCUCGAGUCCGGGAGAGGUGAGUGGAACUGCGAGUGUAGAGGUGAAAUUCGUAGAUAUUCGCAAGAACACCAGUGGCGAAGGCGGCUCACUGGCCCGGUACUGACGCUGAGGUGCGAAAGCGUGGGGAGCAAACAGG
rnacentral:rRNA from 1 species